rnacentral:rRNA from 1 species
UAAUACGAAGGGGGCUAGCGUUGUUCGGAAUUACUGGGCGUAAAGCGCGCGCAGGCGGCUUGGUAAGUUGGGGGUGAAAUCCCUGGGCUCAACCCAGGAAUGGCCUUCAAGACUGCUUGGCUGGAGGACGAGAGAGGUGAGUGGAAUUCCCAGUGUAGAGGUGAAAUUCGUAGAUAUUGGGAAGAACACCGGUGGCGAAGGCGGCUCACUGGCUCGUUUCUGACGCUGAGGCGCGAAAGCGUGGGGAGCAAACAGGAUUAGAUACCCUGGUAGUCCACGCUGUAAACGAUGAGUGCCAGGUGUCGGGGGGCUUUGCCCUUCGGCGCCGCAGCUAACGCCUUAAGCACUCCGCCUGGGGAGUACGGCCGCAAGGUUA